rnacentral:rRNA from 1 species
GAUGAACGCUAGCGGCAGGCCUAACACAUGCAAGUCGAGGGGUAGAGUUAGCUUGCUAACUUGAGACCGGCGCACGGGUGCGUAACGCGUAUGCAAUCUGCCUUGUACUGAGGGAUAGCCCAGAGAAAUUUGGAUUAAUACCUCAUAGUAUUAUUGAAUGGCAUCAUUUGAUAAUUAAAGUUCCAACGGUACAAGAUGAGCAUGCGUCCCAUUAGUUAGUAGGUAAGGUAACGGCUUACCAAGACGAUGAUGGGUAGGGGUCCUGAGAGGGGGAUCCCCCACACGGGUACUGCGACACGGACAAGACUCCUACGGGAGGCGGCAGUGAGGAAUAUUGGUAAAUGGGCGCAAGCCUGAACCAGCCAUGCCGCGUGCAGGAUGAAGCAUCUAUGGUGUGUAAACUGCUUUUAUACGGGAAGAAACACUCCUACGUGUAGGAACUUGACGGUACCGUAAGAAUAAGGAUCGGCUAACUCCGUGCCAGCAGCCGCGGUAACAC